UACAGAGGGUGCGAGCGUUGUCCGGAAUCACUGGGCGUAAAGGGCGCGUAGGUGGCCUGAUAAGUAGGGGGUGAAAUCUCGAGGCUCAACUUCGAGGCUGCCUUCUAAACUGUCGGGCUUGAGCAGAGUAGAGGCAGGUGGAAUUCCCGGUGUAGCGGUGGAAUGCGUAGAGAUCGGGAAGAACAUCGGUGGCGAAGGCGGCCUGCUGGGCUCUGCUGACACUGAGGCGCGACAGCGUGGGGAGCAAACAGGAUAGAUAC
rnacentral:rRNA from 1 species